rnacentral:rRNA from 6 species
UCUGGUAGUUAUGGCGAGAAGGUCACACCCGUUCCCAUCCCGAACACGGUAGUUAAGCUUCUCUGCGCCAAUGGUAGUUGGGGGCUUCCCCCUGCG